rnacentral:rRNA from 1 species
CCUACGGGGGGCAGCAGUGAGGAAUAUUGGUCAAUGGGCGGAAGCCUGAACCAGCCAAGUAGCGUGCGGGAUGAAGGCCCUACGGGUCGUAAACCGCUUUUGCACGGGGAAAACAACCGCCACGUGGGGAGGUCUGCAGGUACCGUGCGAAUAAGGGCCGGCUAAUUCCGUGCCAGCAGCCGCGGUAAGACGGAAGGCCCGAGCGUUAUCCGGAUUCCUUGGGCUUAAAGGGAGCGUAGGCGGGCGUUCAAGUCAGCUGUAAAAUCGCGCGGCUCACCCGCGCCCCGCCGUUGAAACUGGCCGCCUUGAGUUCACUACAGGCAGGCGGAAUUCGUGGUGUAGCGGUGAAAUGCAUCGAUAUCACGAGGAACCCCGAUUGCGAAGGCAGCCUGCCGGGGUGCGACUGACGCUGAGGCUCG